GUUUGUGGUACAGGAAAAGGGUUACGAUCUCAGUGGUUGAUUCAGUGAAAUAACAUCUCUUUUAUACACAUCUGCCUAGCAAGUAGGGCGGUAGUUGGAAAUACCCAAUCUAAAGUAUUAAAGAUUUGCUGGCAAAUAGCAAGGCAUUUUCUGCAAAGGAAAAGUUAUACUGAGUAGUCACUUUGAAUGCUUAGGAGUUACAGUCAAAUAUCCAAACACUGUGGAGUUACACUGCAUAUAUUAUUUUGUCAAGUAUUUAACACACUGGGAAUUGACUGCUGCACAGUUCAUAACCAAGAAGGCAUGAUAACAGUGGACUUUUAAGAAGAGACUUGGCAAAGGGCCCCUUAUGUCAGCCUACAGUUCAAGGGAACAUAAACCAAAAGGAAUGCAAAGUCAGAUGAAAAAGGAACAGUAUGUGACUGGAAAUGUGUAGAGAAGAGGCCUAUGAAGAGGAACAGCCUUCUGCAGGAGUCAGGUUUGUCUGCCUCGCUGUUGUAAGUUCCUCCUUUUGAAUUUUUAUUUUAGGAUUAGGUAUUUUUUAAUUUCUCUUUUUUUUUUAAAUUUAUUUUUUAACAGUAAAUUCAACUCCCCAAGAGCUCCUUACUCUUUAUCAGAAAACUUCCAAAUCUCUAGCCCUUCCUACUGCCUGGAAAUCCUAGACAUCUGCAAUAAUUCAGUGCUAAUAGUACUGUUCAGUAAUGAAUCUGACAAAGAUCAUAAGAUAUAGAUUAAAGUGGGACAUAAGAUAUCAUGCUGUUAGCACUUGGUAAUGUAAAACUCAUCUAGUUCUUGCUAGUCAAUACAAGUUCUAUCUUUCCUACU